rnacentral:lncRNA from 1 species
UUAUUCCAACUUUUGGGUUAAUUAGUUUCUGUACAGUUUAAUUAGAAAAAACAGGAAAUUGUGUGGUUAAGCUAUCAGUCAACGAUUAUAUUAUGGUUAUUGUGGUUAAGCUAUCAGUCAAUGGUUCAUGAUUUUAUGUUUAUGAUUGUCGAAUUUAUUGUUCAAAUCUGGGUUGAAAUUGUGUUGUUGGGGCUGGUUAUGCUGUGAUUGAGUUCUGUAAGGAAAAAAUGAUUUGCUAUUUAAUUCUUUCUUUAAUUUCAUGGCCUUUUAAUUUCGGCCAAGUUAUGAUGUUAGC